rnacentral:rRNA from 1 species
UACGGAGGGUGCGAGCGUUGUCCGGAAUCACUGGGCGUAAAGGGCGCGUAGGCGGCGCGGAAAGUCGUCGGUGAAAGCUCGGGGCUCAACCCUGAGUCUGCCGGUGAUACUCCCGCGCUCGAGCUCACUAGAGGCAGAUGGAAUUCCGGAUGUAGCGGUGGAAUGCGUAGAGAUCCGGAAGAACACCGGUGGCGAAGGCGGUCUGCUGGGGUGAGGCUGACGCUGAUGCGCGACAGCGUGGGGAGCAAACAGG